UGAACSCUGGCGGCAGGCUUAACACAUGCAAGUCGAACGGUAGCAGGAGAAAGCUUGCUUUCUUGCUGACGAGUGGCGGRCGGGUGAGUAAUGCUUGGGAAUCUGGCUUAUGGAGGGGGAUAACCAUUGGAAACGAUGGCUAAUACCGCGUAAUAUCGGRAGAUUAAAGACUGGGACCSCAAGGCCAGUUGCCAUAAGAUGAGCCCAAGUGGGAUUAGGUAGUUGGUGGGGUAAAGGCCUACCAAGCCUUCGAUCUCUAGCUGGUCUGAGAGGAUGACCAGCCACACUGGAACUGAGACACGGUCCAGACUCCUACGGGAGGCAGCAGUGGGGAAUAUUGCGCAAUGGGGGCAACCCUGACGCAGCCAUGCCGCGUGAAUGAAGAAGGCCUUCGGGUUGUAAAGUUCUUUCGGUGAUGAGGAAGGKWGUKAUGWUAAUAGCAURACWMAUUGACGUUAGWCACAGAAGAAGCACCGKCUAWCUCCGU
rnacentral:rRNA from 1 species